AGUUUGAUCCUGGCUCAGGACGAACGCUGGCGGCGUGCUUAACACAUGCAAGUCGAACGGAAAGGCCCCUUCGGGGGUACUCGAGUGGCGAACGGGUGAGUAACACGUGGGUAAUCUGCCCUGCACUUCGGGAUAAGCCUGGGAAACUGGGUCUAAUACCGGAUAGGACCAUUUAGCGCAUGCUUUAUGGUGGAAAGCUUUUGCGGUGUGGGAUGGGCCCGCGGCCUAUCAGCUUGUUGGUGGGGUGACGGCCUACCAAGGCGACGACGGGUAGCCGGCCUGAGAGGGUGUCCGGCCACACUGGGACUGAGAUACGGCCCAGACUCCUACGGGAGGCAGCAGUGGGGAAUAUUGCACAAUGGGCGCAAGCCUGAUGCAGCGACGCCGCGUGGGGGAUGACGGCCUUCGGGUUGUAAACCUCUUUCAGCAGGGACGAAGCGCAAGUGACGGUACCUGCAGAAGAAGCACCGGCCAACUACGUGCCAGCAGCCGCGGUAAUAC
rnacentral:rRNA from 2 species